rnacentral:rRNA from 1 species
AGUGAACGCUGGCGGUAGGCCUAACACAUGCAAGUCGAACGGCAGCACAGUAAGAGCUUGCUCUUACGGGUGGCGAGUGGCGUACGGGUGAGGAGUACAUCGUAAUCUACUUUUUCGUGGGGGAUAACGUAGGGAAACUUACGCUAAUACCGCAUACGACCUACGGGUGAAAGCAAGGGAUCUUCGGACCUUGCGCUAUUGAAUGAGCCGAUGUCGGAUUAGCUAGUUGGCGGGGUAAAGGCCCACCAAGGCGACGAUCCGUAGCUGGUCUGAGAGGAUGAUCAGCCACACUGGAACUGAGACACGGUCCAGACUCCUACGGGAGGCAGCAGUGGGGAAUAUUGGACAAUGGGCGCAAGCCUGAUCCAGCCAUACCGCGUAGGUGAAGAAGGCCUUCGGGUUGUAAAGCCCUUUUGUUGGGAAAGAAAAGCAGCAGGUUAAUACCCCGCUGUUCUGACGGUACCCAAAGAAUAAGCACCGGCUAACUUCGUG